rnacentral:rRNA from 1 species
UACGUAGAAGACUAGUGUUAUUCAUCUUUAAUAGGUUUAAAGGGUACCUAGACGGUAAAUCAAGCCUGAAAUAUGGGACUAAUGUACUAGAGUUACUUACGAGGGGGUAUUAAAGUACUGCUGGUGUAGAGAUGAAAUUCUGUCAUACCUCGUUUCACAGGAAACAUUACGGCACAGGUAUAGGCGAAAGCAUCUCCUUAUGUGAUAACUGACGUUGAAGGACGAAGGCUUUGUGUAGCGAACAGG